rnacentral:tRNA from 1 species
GGGAAUGUAGUUAAUUAUAACAUUUGGGUUGCAUACAAAAAGUAUUGAAUUUUCAAUCUAUCUCA